CGCCGCAUGAGCCGAGCAACGAGGCCCGACCAAAACGGGAACGGACGUCGUCCGCAUGAAGCGUAGAACGCUUAGCUUUUCGGGGCAAAUGGAGGUCGAGGACCUCGUACCGCGUCGGUCUUCCGCAUCCGAGAGAUCGAGCAGAGCGUCGUGCGCCACCGACCGAAGCACGCAUUCAUGCGCACGGGUCGUGGAACACGGCGAAUGCUUCGGUGCCCACCCCACACCGCAGCCCCGAAAGGCGCAGCACAAGGAGGAAACGGGACAUUUGGACUAGAGAAUGCCUUCUCGAUAGGUAUACAGCACAGGAAACCGUCAACGGUCAAGGCGAACUCGCAACUUGAGCCGACAAUUGAAGAGGCGCGCAUGGGAUGCCGUCGCUGCCCGAGCAGGGAACCGACACGCCCUUACACGCCAAUCACCACUCACGCGCUCU
rnacentral:misc_RNA from 1 species